UACGUAGGCAGCGAGCGUUGUUCGGAAUUACUGGGCGUAAAGAGUGUGUAGGCGGUGCUCUAAGUUCGGUGUGAAAUCUCCUGGCUCAACUGGGAGGGUGCGCCGGAAACUGGAGUGCUUGAGCGUGGGAGAGGAAAGCGGAAUUCCUGGUGUAGCGGUGAAAUGCGUAGAUAUCAGGAGGAACACCUGUGGUGUAGACGGCUUUCUGGACCAUAGCUGACGCUGAGACACGAAAGCGUGGGUAGCAACAGG
rnacentral:rRNA from 1 species